rnacentral:lncRNA from 1 species
UAAUAGAAAGAAAUAAAAGCCUUGUGGAGUUGAGACACUUAUUGUAGAAGACUUUUAAUGAUAGAAAUAACGAUGUAAAUAUAAAGGUAGAGUUCCGCAAUUGUAUUCCAGUUGGGUUGUAAAUAAAUAGUAAAAGUCCAUAUUAAAUAUAUGAACUGCAUUUUGAGUUAAUGGGCCUGAAUCUAUAAUUAUGAAUAGAAGGUGAGAUUUAAAUAAGUUAGGCUUACUACGGGCUUCGGGGGCCUUAAGCCCACCCAGGUCCUAGGGCCGGUCCGGUCCAUGGAAAUGGGUCGUGACAGUUUAAGAUUUAAAAUUUAAAAUUAUAAUAUACUAUUUUAGAAUUUAAGAUUUAUGAUUUAAAAUUUAGUAGUAUAAUUUUAUUAUAUAGACGUAUUCUUUUUGUCAAAACCCCACAACAAAUUUCUCCAAAAAAACCCACAACAAGUGGACCGCAGGUAUUUAUUAAAUUUUGUCAUGUUUCAAUAAGUUUUCCUGAUAUGACGUCGUACAGGAGAAAAUCAAUUUGGGCUAUUUGACUUUUCUGUGGAUAAGUAGAUUUUUUUUACUUUUCUGUGUUUAAGCAAAUCUUAUCCUUUGGAGCAACUUGCUUAAAUUCCUAACGCACAUGAUACGGCAUUUCCUUUUCUGGAAGUAAAAAAAAAAAAACAAAAGAGAAAAAAAAGUAAAAAAAACUCAAUUUUUAAGUUUCAUUAAAAUAUAAGGACUAAUUAGUAAUUUACCUUUAAAAAAAAGUAUAAGAGACUAUAAAUCUUCAUUUAUAAAUUUCAAAUAGAAAGUGAUUAUAGGAUAAAUUACUUUUUCAUCUUUUUUUCUUUUUCCUUUUUUAAUAAUCUUUUCUUCUUUUUAGCUUAGUCAGUCAGUUAGUUUCAAUUGAGGAUUGAAUUUUAAAUGAGAGCCAAAUUUUUCUUUUUUAAUCUUGAAAUACCAAAUUGAAUUUUGAAUUUGGUUUUGAUGAUUUAUUUAUUCUCUUUCGAUGAAGAUCUGAAAGAAAUUUUUUUUUUUUUUUUUUUUUUUUUCCUUUCAAAAAAGUAAAAGUAAGGUUAUUUCGAUGAAGAUCUGAAAGAAAUUUUUUUUUUUUUUUUUUUUUGUUCUCCUCCUUAGAAGUACAAGUACUGUUAAUAUAAACAUAAAUUCAGCCGCCAAGCCAAAGGGCAAACACAGAUGAAUCCUUUCAUUUUAGUAAAGCUCUAAAUUAGAGAGCCUAGGUUUAGGUAUAAGAAUUAAAGGAUUCAUUUUUUUUAUUACAAUCCCAAAUUUUUCUGACAACUCCAACUGUGUCUCACAUGUCAAUUUCCAUUCAAAUGAAUGCAGUAGGGAAGCCAAAACGUACAUCAACAUCCUCUCUGCUAAGGGAAUUCCGGCACAAACCCUCCUUCCAGAUCCAAACGGUAGGUACUGAAAAUUGUUCCCUGAGUAAUCGAAUUUGAUAUGUUCAUCACUAUUUAAGAACCUCUCAGGCCUAAACUCUGAGGGAUUGUCCCAAAGAAGGGGAUCCCUAUGGAUAGAAUGAACAUUUAGGAAAACUGUAGUGCCCUUAGGAAUGGUAUAGCCACCAAGUAUGCAAGAUUGGCUAGAAAAAUGAGGUGCUAACAGAGGAAGUGCUGGGUGCAAACGAAAUGUUUCUUUUAGGACAGCAUCUAAAUAUUGCAACUUCGGCAAAUGGAACUCUUCUACAACGUUGUUAAUUCCCACAACUUCAUCUAAUUCUUGGUAAACUUUCUUCAUUACGUCUUGAUGGAGCAUUAGUUCUGUCAUUGCCCAUUCUAGCAUGGUUGCCGUUGUGUCUGUUCCACCCACCACAAUGUCCUGUUAAGAACACAGAUGAAGUUAAAAUAAAGAACUUAAAAAGGAAAAUAAAGAAAGACAAUAAUUAUGUAAGAAUCGUACUAUUAGCAAGGCUUUGAGUUGUUUGCUGGUGAUUGAUGUUUCAGCAUCUCCAUUCCUGUUAAAAUCCAAAAGAAUCUGCAAGAAGUCUCGCUUUUUCUCACUCUUUUCAUCCUUGGCACUCAUAUUCAAACGUUGCUCUAUUACAGGAUUAAGAAUUUUCUCAAGAAAUAAGAAUACCUUUCUUGUUUGCUUCUCUAAACCUUGCAAAUCAAACCUAGCAAGCAGAGGAAAAAAGUCUGAAACAUUAGGUUUUCCCUGCAGCACCAUAAUCUCUUCUGCUAAUCUACUAAACUCUGGAACAAAACUACCCAAUUUCUCUCCUUCAAGCGUUCCACCACACAACAUUCUGAUAAUAGCAUUUGCAGCUAUUUCAAAUACAAACUCGCCAAAGUUUAUUGAGUUAUUAUCAGCUCUACUAAACACAUAUGUUAUGGCUUUCUUUACUUCUCUCUCCCUCAAUGGACAGCAAGCAUCAAGAUUUGAAUUACUUAACAUUUCUCGAACAAACACCUUCCGGAUCUUCUUCCAUUCAGGACCGUAGGAUGACCAUAGGAUAUCAUUCCCACCAUAAGUGAUAACUUUAGCAGCCACUGGUGGAUCUCUGUUAGCAAAUAUUGUAUCUUUAUCGCGAACAACUUCUUUGGCUAGCGAUGGUGAGCUGAUAACUAUGCAUAAUUUGUUUCCAAGCCAGAGCUUACAAAUAGGACCAUACACUUCAUUCAAUUCUGUGAAUUUCUUGUGCAGGAAAGUGCCUAAAAAUGGAAGAUAUCCCACUACCGGCAAGCCCCAAGGGCCCGGAGGCAAUGGAGGUGUUGCUUUCUUUUGUUUCCUGAGAAAUAACAAGCAGAAUAAUGUAAUUGUAGCGACUGAUAUGGUAAGAACUGCGGCGG